CCUACGGGGUGCAGCAGUGGGGAAUAUUGGACAAUGGGGGCAACCCUGAUCCAGCCAUGCCGCGUGUGUGAAGAAGGCCCUCGGGUUGUAAAGCACUUUCAGUGAGGAAGAACGCCUGGUGGUUAAUACCCAUCAGGAAAGACAUCACUCACAGAAGAAGCACCGGCUAACUCCGUGCCAGCAGCCGCGGUAAUACGGAGGGUGCGAGCGUUAAUCGGAAUUACUGGGCGUAAAGCGCGCGUAGGUGGCUUGAUAAGCCGGUUGUGAAAGCCCCGGGCUCAACCUGGGAACGGCAUCCGGAACUGUCAAGCUAGAGUGCAGGAGAGGAAGGUAGAAUUCCCGGUGUAGCGGUGAAAUGCGUAGAGAUCGGGAGGAAUACCAGUGGCGAAGGCGGCCUUCUGGACUGACACUGACACUGAGGUGCGAAAGCGUGGGUAGCAAACAGGAUUAGAUACCCCUGUAGUC
rnacentral:rRNA from 1 species